CCUGCUAGUGGGGGAGCCCCGCACCGCCGUGGCCAAUGGGCUUCGCCGCUCGCGGGACCGGCAGCCAGUGGGCGGGCGGGAAAGCUGGGCUAAGCCCCGGGGCACCCUGGGAGUCGUAGUUUUUCGCCGUCGAGGAGUUCCUGCCGAGCGGGCUCACCCCGCCCGGUUGCCAUUAGUUACCCGGACGCACCUCUCACCCCACCACCGGAAAAGGAAAGAAGCUGAAGCAGAAAGGCUAAAAGCAACUUGCCCCCGGGGUCCUGAUAAGUUGGCAAAUUGGGAAUUAGACCCAGAUCUGCCUGACACCAGAGUCUGAGCCUUUGAACACUGCCUGUCUUUCCUGUGAAAACCAGACAGCACCCGCUCUCAACGGAGUCUCACUUUGUCACCCAGGCUGGAAUGCAGUGGCGAGAUCUCGGCUCACCACAACCUCCGCCUCCCAGGUUCAAGCGAUUCUCCUGCCUCAGCCUCCCAAGUAGCUGGGAUUACAGAGCAUGAGAUGAUGCCUCAACUGAUCACCAGCUCUGCAGAGGCAGUCACUGAUACCAUCAUUUUCAUCUCCUAAUUGGAUUCCUAGGCAAAAAAUGAAUCCUUUCUGCAUCAUCUAAUACAAGGUUUAUAUAUUCAUAUCAAAACCAAUGAUACAGCCUUCUAUCCGCAUAUUCACUUGCUCAUAGAGCCACACCUGAAUCCAGGAUCUGUUUUGUAAACAUCUGAAGAGAGGUUGAUGGGCUGCACCAUAACUGCACUUUCUGGCCCUGGCCGAAGUACGCCGAAAUGAAAUCUCACAAAGAGGACACUGACUCUCACGCUACCUCAGAAAGCAACUUUCAGAAUAAUAACGAACAUUUCUUGAGUACUUACUGUUUGCCUGGUAUGGUGCUAAACUUCAGUAAUAAAUGUUUAACUCAUUUAAUCCUUA